rnacentral:rRNA from 1 species
GGGUUGUAAAGCACUUUCAGCGGGGAGGAAGGCGUUGAGGUUAAUAACCUUGGCGAUUGACGUUACCCGCAGAAGAAGCACCGGCUAACUCCGUGCCAGCAGCCGCGGUAAUACGGAGGGUGCAAGCGUUAAUCGGAAUUACUGGGCGUAAAGCGCACGCAGGCGGUCUGUCAAGUCGGAUGUGAAAUCCCCGGGCUCAACCUGGGAACUGCAUUCGAAACUGGCAGGCUAGAGUCUUGUAGAGGGGGGUAGAAUUCCAGGUGUAGCGGUGAAAUGCGUAGAGAUCUGGAGGAAUACCGGU